GUUGAUUAUCAGUUUUGGGUCUUUUAGCAGACUGAAGCAACUUCUCUUCUAGGAUGUGCCUGUCAUUUUUUCCCUGAAUCCUGACCUGUUUCCCAGUCCCUGCUGAGCUGCAGCAGAACUGGAUCACACUGCUGCCUCCUUCAGGCUUGACAGUAGGGAUGGUGUCGACGGUGUGACAGAGUGUUGAGUCUGCACCUGCUGUAACACGCUGCAUUGACAUCAGGAAGUUCCAGUUCGGUCUCCUCUAACUCCACCCACCUGUAGCACGCAUGGUUGCAGAAUCUCUUCAAUGCUUUGUUCAAACACCUUGUGGGGUCAGAGAUGGGUUCUCCUCUCUGCCACCCAGCUCCGCUCUGUGGAGGGACUGGGAUACCGCCGGAUCCUCUCCAGGUCACUGCUGGCCUCACAGCGGCGCCCCGGACCAGCCUCCUUCUCGCCUGGCUGCUGGGUUUGGAGAGACAGCGUCUGUGGUUCGAUGCACCUUCAUCUUCCUAAUGAUCCUCUUCGCUGGGCUCCCAGGGAUACUCGGAGGGUUUUCUAACAUGCAUGCAGUGAUUAAAUAAAGGCUCCUGUGCGGUUUGAGAUCUACAGCUUUUUCACUGAGGUGUUUCACAACCUCUGGUCUGCGGGGCUGAAUCGUUGCUUGAAAUUCACUGCCUGUCUCGGGGACUUUAUAAAGACCCCGAAACGUUGAGGCUGAAAUUGUGAAGCACUACUCUUGGACACAGACAGAGGUCACCCAGUGCACUGUGUGAAAGUGUUUUAAUCACUGCAGGCAGAAAGUUCAACUGCAGCGCAUGUGUCCUUUCAGAAAACAGGAGAACAGAAUCACUGUACUGAUUCACUUCACAAAAUUAGUUUUCAUAAAGGUAGAGCUAGGAACACGUCUCUCUCAUGCACCACAAACCUCUUUAUAACUGCCCACGAUAUCAGACAGGAGUGGCGAUCAUGGAUUUAUAUACUGAGAAAUCAGCCUCUGUGUUGAUAUUUUUCAUAUCGUACACGAAAGACUAAUGAAGUAAGAAAAACUCAUCCGUUAAACUCGUAUUCUCUCUCAGUACGGGCGACGCCAGUGUCCAAACUAUCCCAGAAUACUGACCUGUUU
rnacentral:lncRNA from 1 species